rnacentral:rRNA from 1 species
UACGUAGGCAGCGAGCGUUGUUCGGAAUUACUGGGCGUAAAGAGUGUGUAGGCGGUGCUCUAAGUUCGGUGUGAAAUCUCCUGGCUCAACUGGGAGGGUGCGCCGGAAACUGGAGUGCUUGAGCGUGGGAGAGGAAAGCGGAAUUCCUGGUGUAGCGGUGAAAUGCGUAGAUAUCAGGAGGAACACCUGUGGUGUAGACGGCUUCCUGGUCCAGCACCGACGUUCAGGCACGAAAGCGUGGGGAGCAAACAGG